rnacentral:rRNA from 1 species
GACAAAGGAUGCAAGCGUUAUCCGGAUUGACUGGGCGUAAAGGGUUCGUAGGUGGAUUUCUAAGUCUUUUGUUAAAAACUAAAGCCUAACUUUAGUCUGGCAUAAGAAACUUGAGGUCUUGAGUACGGUAGAGGCAGUGGGAAUUUCCGGUGUAGUGGUGAAAUGCGUAGAGCUUGGGAAGAACACCAGAGGCGAAAGCGCGCUGCUGGGCCGUUACUAACGCUGAAGGACGAAAGCUAGGGGAGCGAAUGGG